rnacentral:rRNA from 1 species
UACAGAGGUCCCAAGCGUUGUUCGGAUUCAUUGGGCGUAAAGCGCACGUAGGCGGCCUUGUAAGUCGGAUGUGAAAUCCCUGGGCUUAACCGAGGAAGUGCAUUCGAAACUGCAAGGCUUGAAUACAGGAGAGGAUCGCGGAAUUCCCGGUGUAGAGGUGAAAUUCGUAGAUAUCGGGAGGAACACCAGAGGCGAAGGCGGCGAUCUGGACUGAUAUUGACGCUGAGGUGCGAAAGCGUGGGGAGC